rnacentral:rRNA from 1 species
UACGUAGGGGGCAAGCGUUGUCCGGAAUCAUUGGGCGUAAAGCGCGUGUAGGCGGCUCGAUACGUCUGCUGUGAAAGUCCAGGGCUCAACCCUGGGAUGCCGGUGGAUACUGUCGAGCUCGAGUCCGGAAGAGGCGAGUGGAAUUCCUGGUGUAGCGGUGAAAUGCGCAGAUAUCAGGAGGAACACCAAUGGCGAAGGCAGCUCGCUGGGACGUGACUGACGCUGAGACGCGAAAGCGUGGGGAGCGAUCCGG